AGAGUUUGAUCCUGGCUCAGGACGAACGCUGGCGGCGCGCUUAACACAUGCAAGUCGAGCGAGAACCAGUCCUUCGGGACUGGGGACAGCGGCGAACGGGUGAGUAACACGUGGGUAAUCUGCCCUCGGCACCGGAAUAGCCCGGGGAAACCCGGAUUAAUGCCGGAUGGCCUCUCUGCCCUUCGGGGCGGUGAGAAAAGGUAGCUUUGGCCUCCGGCCGAGGAUGAGCCCGCGGCCGAUUAGCUUGUUGGUGAGGUAACGGCUCACCAAGGCGACGAUCGGUAGCUGGUCUGAGAGGACGAUCAGCCACACUGGGACUGAGACACGGCCCAGACUCCUACGGGAGGCAGCAGUGGGGAAUCUUGCGCAAUGGGCGAAAGCCUGACGCAGCGACGCCGCGUGCGGGAAGAAGGCCUUCGGGUUGUAAACCGCUUUCAGGAGGGACGAAGCCACUCAGGUUAAUAGCCGAGAGGGUGACGGUACCUCCAGAAGAAGCCCCGGCUAACUACGUGCCAGCAGCCGCGGUA
rnacentral:rRNA from 1 species